rnacentral:rRNA from 1 species
UACAGAGGUCUCAAGCGUUGUCCGGAAUUAUUGGGCGUAAAGGGCUCGUAGGCGGUCUGUCGCGUCGGGGGUGAAAACUCAGGGCUUAACCCUGAGCCUGCUUCCGAUACGGGCAGACUAGAGGUAUGCAGGGGAGAACGGAAUUCCUGGUGUAGCGGUGAAAUGCGCAGAUAUCAGGAGGAACACCGGUGGCGAAGGCGGUUCUCUGGGCAUUACCUGACGCUGAGGAGCGAAAGUGUGGGGAGCGAACAGG